rnacentral:rRNA from 1 species
UACGUAGGGUGCAAGCGUUGUCCGGAAUUAUUGGGCGUAAAGAGCUCGUAGGCGGUUCGUCGCGUCGGCUGUGAAAACCUGAGGCUCAACCUCAGGCCUGCAGUCGAUACGGGCGGACUUGAGUACUGCAGGGGAGACUGGAAUUCCUGGUGUAGCGGUGAAAUGCGCAGAUAUCAGGAGGAACACCGGUGGCGAAGGCGGGGUCUCUGGGCAGUAACUGACGCUGGAGGAGCGAAAGCGUGGGGAGCGAACAGG